GACGAACCGUGCGAACGUUAUUCGGAAUCACUGGGCUUAAAGGGCGCGUAGGCGGGCGGACAAGUCGGGGGUGAAAUCGUUCGGCCCAACCGGACAAGGGCCCCCGAUACUGGCCGUCUGGAGGGAGGUAGGGGUCGAUGGAACUUCCGGUGGAGCGGUGAAAUGCGUAGAUAUCGAGAGGAACACCUGCGGCGAAGGCGGGUUGCUGGGCUGACACUGACGCUGACAGCGCGAAAGCUAGGGGAGCGAACGGG
rnacentral:rRNA from 1 species